GAUGAAGAACGCAGCAAAAUGCGAUAAGUAAUGUGAAUUGCAGAAUUCAGUGAAUCAUCGAAUCUUUGAACGCACAUUGCGCCCGCCAGUAUUCUGGCGGGCAUGCCUGUUCGAGCGUCAUUUCAACCCUCAAGCACAGCUUGGUGUUGGGACUCGCGUUAAUUCGCGUUCCCCAAAUUGAUUGGCGGUCACGUCGAGCUUCCAUAGCGUAGUAGUAAAACCCUCGUUACUGGUAAUCGUCGCGGCCACGCCGUUAAACCCCAACUUCUGAAUGUUGACCUCGGAUCAGGUAGGAAUACCCGCUGAGCUUAAGCAUAUCAAUAAGCGGAGGA
rnacentral:misc_RNA from 1 species